GAAGAAUAUUUUCUUUUCUUCCUUUUAUUACAGUCAUCUAAUCCAUCGUGUGUCUUGUUAUAUGCUUUAAAGGCAAAGACUAAAGAAUUUGUGCAUGUAGUCCCUUAUUAGUUUUUCAUCUUAUUGUUUGGUGUUCCUCUUAAUUUCCUAUAUUAUAUGGUGAGCUGAAAAAUUGGGAUCAUUUUGAAUCAUCGAACUGAAAUUAGGUCUGAAAUAUUGUCAGUGAAUCAUUUUCCAUUUGUUGACCCCCACAUUUACCCCGCCCCUAACUGACAAAACCAUGAAGAAGGAUACUAUUAAUAAGCAAUUUUUUUUUUCUUUUGAAUUGUUAAAAUGAUUAUGGGUCAAAACAAACUUUUGUGAGGGAAUGUACUGAUCCUUGGGAUUAUUUAUCUAUUAGGAGUUCUUCUUUUGCUAAUCGUUUGGAUUCUGGUUUGGUCCUUACUUUAAGCUCUGUUGUGCUCGACUAGACUAUGGUUGAAUGCUUUGAAUUUACUUUAUGCCCUCAUGCUACCCCUGCUUUCAACUCCCUUCAUCCCUUCUAGCUUUCCUCUAAUUAAAUUGACCCAUCAGAUGAUUUUUCUUCCACAUCUUUUGUCUGUCAGAUCCCUUCAUCCUUUAUGUUUCAGUAUAUCUUAAGCUUAAAAUUCUGAAUUAUAUCCCUAUGCCUCCAGACUUGCUAAGCACCCCUAGGAUUAUUUGCUUUUGGAAGUAUAAAAGAUAUUCCUUUUUGGUCAAUGUAAAAGAUAAUCUACUCAUCAGUGAAUAAAUGGUAAAGUGUACAGUUCUACAUGUGGAAGUGAUCCGGCAUGGAAAACUUGGUAGCAAGUGUUUUCACCAACCGAGCCCUUACGGUUUGUGGAUUUUGUUGGGACACACAUUCAUUCUUGUAUCUUCUGCUUGGUAAAAAUAUGAAGAAAUGCCAAGGGCGUUUAACUUAUUGCAUACUUGGUGUUACACUAGAAUUUGAAUUGCUUUAGCAGUUUUGUGUUUUUAUUUGGGUGCAUAAGUAGUCUCUAGCAUUAACAGCUCUCCUUGGUUGGUCCACUACAAUUUUUUUUUCCAUUAAUUGACUUUUAUGAUUGAACUAAUUUGAUUGGUAUUCUUUUCAUUUUAUCAUUUAUGUAUAACUCAGGAAGUAAGACGGAGAAUUUUUUGUGAUUUAAUCUGUGCAAGCAUAUUGUUACGGUUUUUUUCCCUGCUUAAUAUUUCUCGUCUAUCUGCAGAUGAAGAUGAUGAUUAGCUCGUGACUCAGUGUGUUGUGGCAUUUUCAGAAGGGUUCCAUGCUCUAAGAGACGGUUCGGCCUUAAAGUUUUAGGCACUUUUUGUUUUGAAAUUAAUGCUGAUAUGUUUGCAAGGCUGCUGUAAAAACUUUCCCAAUUUUCUGAUCUUUUUGUGAUGCAUAAGCUUUGAAAUACUUUCAUAUUGCAAAGCUGAACGGCGUUUCUUUAAUAACAAACGGAAUGAAUUCAGUCCUCCUAGCUGCAAGUACAAAUCCGUCCUUUGCGGAUCCUUCGAAUUGGUUGCAACAGUUCUCUUUCUUGUUUGCAAAGUGGUUUGGUUAUAUACUUUGUGAAGUUGUUUAUCACUCACAAACCUGAAUGAAUCCGUCUUUUAGUUAGAGUUUUUAGGAGCAGUUGGACCAACUCCUGUUGGUUUCUAGGUUUUUGUUCUAAUGUGUCAACUGUGACGAAAAGAUACUAGUUCCACAACCAUUCACUUUCUGUUUUGACAAGGUUAUAUUUUAAAUUACUCUAAUCUACGAGAUUCGGGAUUAGAAGUUCUGUGCAAAGGGGUGGGUACGCUGCCCUGCCCAACUGGGGGAUUCAAACUCGACGGUUGAUUCACAGGUGAUAAUAUAAACUUUCACAAAACAAUCUUAUAUGAUUGCCUCAAGCAAAAACAAUAUUCGCAUCAGUGGCACCCUGCAACAAAAUGCUGCAUUGCAGUUGCUAGCCCAAACCAAAUCAAACCAAAUGAAUGGAAACGCGACUGAAUUGGUCCUAGUUACUCUCUUAGACGGAGUGGUAUAUUUAUAUUAACAACAAAUUUUCAUCAAUCUUCUAAAAUAUGAUUCACUACUUAUGUGUAAGAAUCUAAAUUCGUCUUCUCAAACUCCACCGACCGAUGAUUAAACACAUGUAGUAGUUGAUCACACGCUUCUCGUGACGAAGGCCUCUCUGCCGGGCUGGUUUUUGUGCACUGCAGUGCAAUUUCAAGAACCUGGAACGCGGUGUUUUCUUCUCCGGACAAGAGUGGUUUCAGUGCAGGGUCUAUCAACUCUUCACGAGUAGAAUCCUGCAUUUCAAUAUGCAUCUCGACCCACCUCACCAUGUCCAUCUCCACGCCGAAAGAUGAAUCUGUCGGCAUUCUCCCGCUUACAAGCUCCAUUAGCACAAUCCCCAUGCUGUAGACAUCACUCUUUUCUGAUGCCUUGAGUGAAUAAGCAUACUCUGAAAUCAUAUGACAUAUAGUUAGAAUCAAACGCAUAGAUCAUUCAUGUCAAAAUCAAACUCUAAAUUCGGUAUCCGAAGUACAAGAAAGAACAUAAUUCAAAGCAUAACUGAUUAGUACCUGGUGCUAUGUACCCGUAGGAUCCAGCAAACCAUGUAUUAGAUUCUGUGUUAGACUCGUUGUUCUCGUUAAGUGUCUUGGCAAGGCCGAAAUCCCCAAGAUGUGCCUCCAUGUUCGAAUCUAGCAAAAUAUUGCUCGACUUAAUGUCCCUAUGGAUGAUCUUUGGCACGCAGUCAUGGUGGAGAUACUCCACUCCUUGAGCUAAUCCAACCGCAAUCUUUAGCCGUGCCUCCCAAUCAAGGCUCUUCUUCUUCUUGUUACUUUGCUCUUGGUGUAUCCAAUCAUACACACUUCCGUUCUCCAUGUACUCGUAUAUUAACAGAUUGGAUCCUGCUCCUUUGUUGCUGCAGUACCCCAUUAACUUCACCAGAUGCCGGUGUCUUAUCCUCCCAAGUGUCUUAAUCUCCCUAGUGAAGGUUUUGUUCGCCAUAAGAUCAUCUUUAUACAAAAUCUUCUUGACUGCCACAGUUUCUCCUGUUCGCAGUUCAGCUUUGUAGAUUACUCCCGACCCUCCUGAGCCAAUUACAAAUUCGUUGCUCAGAUUCUUUGUGGCGUCCAUGAUGUCUUUCCAUUUGAUAUCUGGCUUGACAGAACCGUUUGAGAAAAGCAGUCUUCGCUGAGCAUGGGAAGAACUGGACGAGUACAAGAAGUUCAUUUCACGGGCUUUCCGAAAAGCUUCUCGCUUGUGUUUCAGGAGAGAAGCAGCUCCGAAUAUCAGUAGAGCAAUUGCAGAUAGAGUACAUAUUGCAGCAAGGGCUACCACUGCCAAUUCUGUUGGAUCAGACUGCUGCUUUCUGCCAAUGCAGCUUCCAAGAGGGCUUCCACAAAGAUCCAAGUUUCCCUCAAAAGCCUCAGCCGGCCAGUGCGAGAGUUGCUUGCUCAACUUUCCUUGCAGAUUGUUGUAAGACAGAUUAAGCUUUCCCAAGCUAAUCAUCCCACCAACUGGGGAAGGGACUUCGCCAAUUAGUUGAUUGUGAGAUAGAUCAAGCACUUCAAGUUUUGACAGAGUCCCAAUAGAGGCCGGAAUCUGACCACUCAAAUUGUUGUAACUAAGGUCUAAAAUGCUCUGAAGAUUUUGGAGUUGUCCAAGCUCAUAAGGCAAGUCACCAUCAAAUCUGUUCUGUGAGAGCCGAAGCUCAUACAGCUUGCCUAGUUUCCCAAUGGCAGGAGGGAUUGGACCUGAAAAAUGGUUGUGGUCGAGGUUUAGGACAUUAAGCGAUUCCAGGUUACCAAUCUCAGCAGGGAGGGUUCCAAUGAGAGAAUUCUCACUCAUGGAAAGCACUAGCAGUUUAGAACAAUUGAACAAUUCAAUCGGAAGAGCCCCGGUGAAGCGAUUUGAGGACAGCUUCAGCUCUCCUAACUGAGGCAAACCUCCAAACCACUGCGGAAUUGUGCCUGAAAGAAGGUUGUCGUUCAAGUCAAUGUGGGACAGUUUCUUGCACGAUGAAAGCUCGUCCGGUAUUGAUCCUGUGAGUGAAUUUCCGGACACAUCUAGCAGUGAUAGCUCACUGAUAUUCCCCAAUGUGUGUGGGAUUUUACCAGUAAACUGAUUGUUCCCUAAUCUCAACCUCUGGAGAGAUUUCGAAUUUCCGAGCUGGGAAGGAAUCUCAUGAUCAAAUGCAUUGUCAGUGACAUCAAACGAAAGAAACGAACUGGAGCUACACAAUGCAGCAAUGCUUCCAUUCAACUUGUUUCCCGAUAAAUUCACUCUAGUCAAAUUCGCCAUAUUAGCCAAUGUAUCAGGAAGAUUACCUUCAAGUGAGUUGUUGUACAGCAUGAACUGCUCCAUAGCUCCAAGGGACCCGAAAGUUAUCGGUAUCCCGCCAGAUAAACGGUUAUCCGCCAAGUCAAGAAUAGUCAGCUUGUGACAGUUCCCCAAUGUGGCGGGAAUCUCACCCACCAACUCAUUCUGCCUGAUAUGAAGUAAGUUCAAAUCUUUGAGCCUCCCAAUAGUAACCGGGAUCUCCCCGCUGAACCGAUUUCCAAAAAAAUCGAUCAUCUGCAAGCUCGAACAGUUGCCAAUCUCCAUUGGGAUUUCUCCAGAGAGCUGAUUGUCGUAGAGAUAUAGAAUCUCGAGCUCCCCAAGCAUUCCAAUCUCGCUCGGCAGAGGGCCCACCAAGUUGUUAUGGUACAGAAUAAGUGACUGCAGAUUGCUGAGGUUUGAUAUCAACGGAGAAAUCGAACCAACCAAGCUGUUGUUGUGGAGCAACAGAUCAGUCAGCUCCACUAGUCCAUAAAUCUCAUCUGGGAUUGACCCGUUGAUCAAGUUAUUGGACAAGUCGAGCUGCUUCAUUGAUCGGCAUUGGCUUAAUUCUGCUGGGAUCUCGCCGACAAGUCCCGAACCUGAAAUCAUUAGGAGCUCCAAACUUGUUGUGUUGGAACAUAGAUUUCUUGGGAUGACGCCGGAAAGACUGUUGUUUGAUAAAACUAAGGUUGCCAGCUGAGACAUGGUGCCAAAUUCGGCCGGAAUACCUCCUGUGAGCUUGUUCACGGAUAAAUCAAGACUCUGAAGAUUUCCCAGUUGAGAUAUGGACUUUGGUAUUGGACCUUCAAGUUGGUUCCCCAUGAGAUUCAUGUAUCCGAGUUGACUCAGUUUACCGAGUUGACUCGGGAUUUGGCCGGUGAGGCUGUUGUUUCCCAAGUUCAGGAGCUGGAGGUUACCGAGACGGCCGAGCUGCGCGGGGAUUGUUCCGUUGAGGGUAUUGUUGGCAGCUGUGAAGAUAGUGAGGCUGGAGCAGUUCCCCAACUCAGCAGGAAUCAAACCUUCGAGUUGAUUGAGCUGCAGGAUUAAGUUCUCCAGUAGGCCGAGUCGGCCGAGUUGGGGAGGUAUUGGACCGUUGAGGCUGCAUGAGGCCAAACCAAGCGUGACCAAAUUGACAAGUUUGCCAAAAGUGGCGGGAAUGGAUCCAGUGAGCCCAUUGUCGCCGAUUCUCAUCACUUGGAGACUCGUCAGCGAGCUGAGAUGAUUCGGGAUGUCCCCAGUGAGCUGGUUUGAAAAGAGAAGCAAAGAUUCCAAGGACGUGAGGUUAGAGAGGGUUGGUGGGAUGGGACCCGAGAGGCGGUUAGAAGAGAGAUCAAGGUGGAGCAGGUUUUGCAAACUACCGAGUGAGGGCGAUAUCGACCCGGCGAGUGACGAGCCGGAAAGGUUGAGCCCUACCGCUUGGACCGAGUUGUCCAGCGAGUCAAGCGCACAAGUCACACCUCUCCAAGUACAGAAAUUUGGGUCGCUUUCGGACCAGCCAUGCAAAACAUUUUCUGGGUCUUCCACAAUUGCCCUCUUCACCUCCAAAAGCACACUCAAAGUUGUAUUGCCAUCGAGCUUCCCCUCGCAGAACAUAAACCCUAAUGAAAGAUGCAGAAACAGAGCAAGAAAAAGAGGCAAAAUUGCAUCUCUUACUAAAGCCAUUUUUCUCAACCAAAACAGAGCAGCUCGAAGCUAGAUGAUGAACUGGUUGGAAUCUACUGUUUCUGGGUGGUUGACAACAGAGCCAGAAAAAGAGGCAAAAUUGCAUCUCUUACUAAAGAUGCCAUUUUUCUCAAACUAAAGCUGGCAUCUUUAGUUUGGGUGUGCUGGUAAAUUUUUGGGUGGUUGAAUGUUGGACUCGGAGUUUGAGCGCUUGCACGUGAAAGUGUGCAUGGAAGAUUGAAUGGGCAGUAAUUGCAUGCACUGGAAAAUUGAGUUUUCUUUUUUCUUGCAGGAGUGGGUUUAUGAUGGAGGCCUAAAAAUGAGUGCAAAUCUAGAGAGAGAAAGAGAUAGAAGAGAGAGUCUCAAUGAGGCUACAAGUUUCUUAUCAGCUGUGCUGCAACUGCAAGCUGCAAAUUCAUAUUAAUGUGAAAACAACACAAGUCUUAAAUAAUGGGAAAAAGUUGGAUUGACUAUUGAGAAUUGAGAAGGUCAAACUAGGUCAGAGAAACACCAAGAGAAUAUUUUUAUAUUUAAUAAAAAUGGUUUUAUUAUCCAAUAUAAAUGUGAAUAGGUACACAAAGGUCAGAGUGUUUAUGCAAUUUGCAGUGAAAGAAAAAGAAAACAGAAGAAAAAACAGAUGACUGUUAAGAUAUGGGCUUACACGGGAGAAGAUACAGUGGUUGGGUGACCGACAGAGGACGAUGUUUGUGGGUUUCACAAACUGGUGUAUUAGCUCAAAAAUGACUGAGUCCCUACUCAGAAAGUGAGCGGUUGAAUUUCUAAAUUUUAAUCAACCAAACUAUGAAGAAUAUAGAAUAUUUCUGCACUUGAAAGUUGCAAGCUUUACAAAGUCAACAGAGUUCCCCCAAACCCUAGUCAUUCCCUACGUAACCCAAUUAACUUACUUCUAGUUCCAUCCUACUCUUAAUAUAUAUAAUUUAAUUUGAUUAAUUAAUCAUGUUUUGGUAGCUUAAGUCUUAGAUGUAUGAUAGAAAUGUAAUACCAUAUACUUUAUAUGUCAUGCUUAUUGGGUUUGAGAUACCAAAUCCUCAUGUCCUUUUGUCCAUUCAAUAAUCAUAGUUGUUUGAUAUAUAAGCUUGAUUGGUUGCAUGCAAUAUACUAAACCCUAUUUUUACUCCAAUUUGUGUGUAUUAUUUGUUCUGUUUGCCCACUCAAUAAUCAUAGUUGUUUGAUGAUGAUUUCUCAAUUCUUGUACUUCUCAUUGAUAUGGAUUUUUAUAAAUUUGGAAAUAAAUUAUUGUGUGGUACCUGAACAAAGCUACAUGACGUAACUAAUGAAGGAAGUUGAGGUUUCAUUUUAAAAUUAAUUGUUGAUGCUAAGGUAGUCUACAUAAGCACAUGUAAGGUUCUUCAACAUUUUGAUAUGAGACGAUGCUAAGCAUCCUCAAAAUCAAUUCAUGUGUUAUAGUAUAAUUGAAUGAAGAGUUUAUAAAUACUUUACAAAGAUUACCCACAUAGUCGUGUUUCAAUAAUGUUUGCCCUUUUUUCUAGCUUUCGCGACUCUUUGGAGAAAAACUCCUUCAGAACAUUAUCUUAAUAAUUAUUAGUUAAUCAGUAUAGCGUCAUGAAUAGUCUUCUUCAUAUAGUAGGCCAUGCUCUUCCAGACUUCCAUGCACAUUUACAUCAAUAAUUUCAUAAAGUUGAAAAUAAAACCAAAAACGCAGUUGUCAGUUUAUACGAAAGUGUAUAUUACUUAGAAGUUGAUGAGAUGUGUUUAUUUGGUAAGCAUGCAACGACUCAAUACACAUUCUUCUUCCAGCCACAAAAGCUGCUGAUAUCUUUUGUAUAACUGACACGGUGUUUUGGUCUAUUGUGCAGCGUUUGCGAUUAUUUAUCUGUCUGCGAUAGAGUCUGAUUCAAAGCAAGCUCACAUUUUUUUGUUUUCACCUUAACCUCCAACAACUCAUAGUAAUUGAUAACAUUGAAACUCCCUUCAUUAAAUAUAUUUACUGAUGUAUAAAAUAUACAAGCAAGAAUACCAUGCAUGUGAACCUUUUCCCCUCUGUUACCUCCACCAACCUAUUAAAAGAUCGAGUGCUAUUUUAUUGACAUGUAUACAACUGAUCAUUGUUGCAUGCAUGGAGUCACCUACUUGGUAAUUAAGUUCAUGUUAUAUCAGACAGUUCAUUUCUUAUAUAUUAAUCUAAAUGAGACAAUAUUACUUUGUAAUAUAUUCUUAUAAAAUGAGAUUUUAUAGUAUACUCUGGGGUAUCUUAAACUUUAGAGUUUUAGGCCGUAAAUUCUUUACCAAUAAUACAACAAUAUUUAACAACUAAAAACUCAAAUUAUAGGAUACCUCAAAGCGUAAUAUAAUUUUUUUCCUCGUAAAAGCAUUGCUAGUUUUGUUGUUAACUUGCCAGGCUGAUCGUUACCGUUGAUGCUGACGGACUGUUGCUGCAUGGUGUGAGCCUCAAACAGCAUCUACUCUUAAUUAUUUUGGAAAAUUUAGCAAUUGAUGCGUAUUCUAGGUCAGGAUAUUUUUUGGUAUUUUAUGUCAUAAGAUUUUCUAGUAAGAUAUAUAAUUAGUGUUACGAUUGCUUUCUUAUUAUUUAUUAAGGUUUACAAAUGAUUUCCCCUUUUUUUAAUAAAAAAAAUACACUCUGUAAUAAAAGAAUGAAAUUUUGAUAAGAUUUGUCGUUUGGAUAUGUAGACAUCUUGAAAUAUAGAAUUUGGAAAAGAUAUAUUAUUAUUAUUAUUAUUAUUAUUAUUAUUAUUAUUAUUAUUGUCAAAUGAUAAAUUUUAUUUAAUCAAGUCAAAUUAAUAAGUUUACAUCCACAACAAGAAUAUUAAAAAGAAAAUCGAGACCAAUACAAUCCCAAACGGUCCUGGACUGAUCACCGAUAAAAGUCUAGCUUGAGUUUCACAACAAGUAUGUUGUCCUGGCUUCACUAAAUUAAGAGAAAAUGAUCGUUUUUGUCAAUCAAAUGUUAAAGUUUAAACCCGUGAUCGCAUGCUGAGGUAAUACAUACAAAAAAAUAGGCUUAAUUACUAUAUCUGCAAUGGACUAUAAAUUACGUAAAGAUCAGAAGAAUAUUAACUUUUCAAUCGAUUAAUUAUUAUUUCUAAAUUAAGCAAGCCUGGAUCUGCAUGCCAAUAUUCCUCACAGAUUAGUAUUAAUUAUAAAGUAAUCUGUAUUGUAUUUGUGCAUACGCUAGAAUCAUGACUAGGAGGGCGAAAGCUUGGACGAAUUAACGAGUGGUUAGACAAUUACAAAAUGGUUGAGAUAAAUAAAUUGUACAAUUAUAUGCUUAUAUUCUUAGUCCAAGAGAAUACGACGGAGACGAUGAUACUUAAUAGACUACUUAAACCCAUGAUCACCUGAUUCACAAUAUAUCUUCUUUGUUGACUCGUAAUAUUAUAUAAUCAAUAUUUGAUUAAUAUCCGUUUGCAAAAUUUGUACACUAUUGCAAAAUAUGGGUUAGGCCAAUCGGCUCAAGCGGUGUAAUCUCUAUUUUGCACUAAGUUGAAAUUCUCAUUUCGUGUAAAUUUUAGAACAGGUAUUUCUCGAUUCCCCCUUUCCCCCCAAAAAGCAAAGCUGACAAUUUCUCUAUGAACUUUAAUUUUAGCCAUUUACUCUCAUGAACUUUAUAAUUGACCAAUUUCUGCUUGAUAUUUAAUUUUAGCCGAUUGCUCCUGAACUUUUAUAAUUACCAAUUUUCUCACUGAACUUUAUAAUUGGCCAAUUUCUCCCUUAACUUUAAUUUUAGCAGAUUACCUGCUAAACUUUUAUAAUUGGUAAUUUCCCCCGAACUUUAAUUUUAUAAUUGCAAAAAGGUAAUUUCAUCGCUAAUGUGGACAACAUAUUGUUUCUCUUUUUCUCUUCUCUUUUGUUAGUUCACUCCUUACACUUUUUGUUUGAAUUUUAGGGUUUAAGGGGAAAUUACAAUUGAGGGGAAAAAUUGGUCAAUUAUAAAAGUUCAAAGGAGUAAUUGGCUAAAACUAAAAUUCAAGGAGAAAUUGGUCAAUUAUAAAAGUUUAGGGGGAUAGAAUUAAAGUUCAUGAAGAAAUUGGCAGCUCCUUGCAAGUUUAGAGAAAAAAAAGUGCAUAUACCUCAUUUUAGAAUGAUGUACUAUUGCCAAAAAUCGUGCAUUGCUUGUAUAAUUGCAAGCAUCUGUUGAAGUUUACUUUCUGGUAACAUGAUUCGAACUUUCAAGCCUUUUGCAAAUUUAUGUGAAAAUAUUUGACAUGCAAAUUAAUUGUCAAAUGAUGAGGAUAGAACAAAUGAGGGGCAAGUAUAUGGACAUGCAUGAUGCAGGGACUUAUAUCAUUAUUUUAAGGAUUUGAAGUAGACGAGCUUAGCUUUUGUUCUACUUCAAACGUACAUAAAUCCCGGAUUGAGAUUCUCUGGAUCAUACUCUGGAGCCCGAUUGACUAAUCUGGAUUGUUUAAUUUAAAUUUUGUGAUCCUCAUUAGCUCAUCUCAUUGACUCACUUCACAAACAAUCUCUCUCUCCAACGCCCAUAUAUUUUUCUUUUAAACUGUUUGAAUUGCUCGAUCUGUAGGCUCUGAAGUGUAAAAUCCAGAGAGAAUCUCAAUCCAUAAAUCCCGACACCACUCGACACUUUCGAGCUUUCCAUAUUGGAUUGGAUCUAUCUUACUUAAUACCUCAACAAUUGAACAGUUUUUCUGCAACUUUUUUAUGAUAUUAGUGGCAAUAUAUUUGGUUAAUUUAACCAUAAGCAAUGUGGCUUUAACAUGAUCAGAAGCAUUUAAUGAAUUGUGCUGCCUGCACCUCACACACAACCUCUCUCCAAUGCCCAAAUAUCUCUCUCUUGAACGGUUCAUAUUGCUAAGUCCAUAAACUCCGCAGUGUGAGAUUCGAAGAGAAUCUCAACACCACUCGAAACUUUUCGAGCAUUCAAUAUUGGAUUUGAUCUGUCUUAAUUUUAUCUCAACAAAUGAACAGUUUUUUUGCAACUUUUUUAUGCUAUUAGUGCCAAUAUAUUUGGUUAAUUUAACCAUAAACAAUGGGAUUUUAACAUCAUAAGCAUUUCAUGAAUUGUGCUAGGUAACUGUGAUACUCACCAACUUAAGAAACUUGGGGUCACAGUAGAGCAAAACAAAAAGUGAUAUGGACGAGGGGUUGGGCCAAACGCCAAGGGAAGGUCGCCACCCUGAGGGAUUAGGGUCUUCUUCACCUACAAGGCCAAUUUAUUACACGUCGAUUUGUUUUUUGUUGCCACCUACCCAUAGCAGAUAGGGUGUCAACAAAAAAGUUCAUUCCGAGUUAAGAGUAAGUUGGCCUACCCAUAGCGUAACAUUCCGAGUUAAGAGUUCAAGAUAUGCAAAGUUUUGGAUUCCACGCUGAUUUUCCGGGCAUUGGUCUUCGUCUGCAAGCUAAAUUCAUCUCAAUUGAUCAUAUUGAUUUGCUUACCUACACAUAGUUGGUAGGGUGCCCUUAUAUUACCUUCAAAGCUUGGGUUUUGGCUUAAUCUCAUUAUACAAUCAAUCACUUUAAUGCCCAGCUUAAUCAUAAGCUCAUGCUACUAGGCUCGACAAUCAUAAAGUUUAAUGUAACUCCUAUAAAGUUGGGUGUCAUCACACUAUUCCCUGAUGUGGGGCUCCAACCACUUAAUAUGUAAACGGUACAAAACAAGUUUAAUAUGUAAACGGUGCAAAACAAGUAAUGAGAAGAACCCAAGUUUUAACCCUUUGCCUCUGCCAUUUGUGAGUAAUAUGGAGACGACGGACCAAAAACAUGAUCCGUGCCCUUCAAGAAAGAGCUAACUGGAGCACUUUCAUAACAUUAACUUUGGUUUUUUUCUUUGCUUUCGAACUCCUUUUUUUUUUUUUUUUUUAGUAUAUCGAUAUUUGUAUACUAUGGGGAGGAGGAGUUCAGCUAAGUCGCACAAUGAGCAGCCUAAUUUAGUAUCAAAUUUGUCAUCCAUGAGAUUUAAACUCUUUUUUAAUUUUUUUUUUAAUUUUGAUAAAAAUGGAUCUGAAAGUUUUGUCGUUGGAGCGUAAUGAUUCUUGGACCUUAGUUUGAACGGGUUUGGCCUUAAAAACUUUGAGUUAAUUCAUUCGAAGGGAUAAUUGGGCUAAGGUUUUGUGACCCAACUUACUCUAUGUGCAGGCCAACUCUCUUUUCAGUUGUUGGAGUAGAUAUGUGUUAUGAUAAUGUUUACGUCCCGUUACAUACUUACAUUCAUGUUCGAAUCCUUUUAUUUUUAUUUUAUAAAUCAUACUAGUUUAGAAUAUCGGUUUGUCAAAGAGUUACCGAACUUUUCCUUAUUUUGAAAGAAAACAGCUAGUAAAAGUGAAACUAGAAGUUUCAAAAUUCUAAUUGUAGUUAAAAAUUGUCUUAAUAUCCAAUGAAAAUCAUAUGUAUCAUGAUGAAACCAUAUCACACAGAUACGCGGCAUCGCAUUAGUUCUUUGAACAAUGAAGAAAUAUUAUUGCAUUAGGUUUUGUGAAAGUCAAUGUUUUUCAAACUAAAAAAUUAAAGCAAUCAUUGUCAAGCUCUACAUAGUACAUACAUGCUAGCAUGUCAUCUCCAUUUGCAGGGGGUGCUUCCCACGUAGUCCUCAACUAAUUAAUGAUUAAACUAAUUGUUAUUCCAAUUAGAUCCUCUAAUCACCAAUACCAUAUGCAAUAUAUAAACAAAGUUUGUCAACACGCUUUCAUUGGAAGGCAAAGCAGCUAGCGUAGUUUUUCAAUCUUGGGCAUAUAGUCUGUACACUUCUGCACAAGAAAUAUGAAUUCCAUAGUUUCCUUGCUCUUAGUUCUUCUUCUUGUUGUUGAAUUAAAUGCUUCUUCAUCUUACCCAGAACACGGUCACGAUCGCCAUGAUGAAGAAACAAACGAGUCCUGGGAGGGAGCAACAACUCUAACUCUAACACUUCCAACAAUAUCAGACGAUUUGCCCUUUGGAGAGUUUCUUUCCAAUUCCUACUAUCACAGGAGUUGUCCAGACCUUGAAGGUAUUAUAAGUAGGAAGGUGAAGCAAUGGCUUAAGGAGGAUUACAGCCUAGCAGCUGGCCUCAUGAGGUUGCACUUCCAUGACUGUGCCAUCAGGGUAAGAAUAUUAUGGCUUAAUUAACCUUCACAUUAUAUAUUAAUUAUUGACUACUUCUAUUUAAACACACAAAACUAACCACAUAUUGAUCACCGCCUUUAUAGAGGUUGGCACCCCGCCAUUUUAUGUAUGUAUAUGUUGUACGUGACUAAUAAUAUUUAUUUGAAGAAUGGAUUAGUAAUGUAGUUAAUUUUGUGUCUCUAAUAAUUUUUUGAAGCUUGAUGGACCAAUAGUACUUAGAAAAGAGUUGGCCAGCUUCCAUACAUCCAUCUAAAAAAAUUAGAAAUUUAUUUAUUUAUUGCUUGGUAUUUGAUUUCUUUUAAUCACAAUUAUAAUGAUUUGAAACACAUGUAGGGAUGUGAUGCCUCCAUCUUAUUAAACCAUGAAGGAAGUGAGAGGGAAGGCAAGGCCAGCAAGACACUGAGAGGGUUUGAAGUGAUAGAUGAUAUCAAGGCAGAGGUUGAGAAGAAGUGCCCAAAAACAGUUUCUUGUGCAGACAUUUUGACUGCAGCUGCAAGAGAUGCUACUGUUCAAAUUGGAGGUCCAUACUGGGCUGUCCCCUAUGGGAGGAAAGAUGGAAAAGUUUCGAUUGCUAAGGAAACUGAGAUGGUUCCCAUGGGUCAUGAAGACAUAACUAGUUUACUUGAGAUUUUUCAAUCACAGGGCUUGAAUGUGGUUGACUUGGUUGUUCUCUCAGGUGAACCAUCUAGUCCGCUUGCAUUUCAAUUGCAUAUGUAUUUUCAUUCAAUCAAUUUAACAUGUUAUGUUGUCACGCUGUCAAUUUAGACCUUACAUUACAUACAUGUUUUAUUGCCACACUAUCACUUUGAACAACACAUUAAAACAUGAACCAAACCUAAUACUAAGAAUUUAGAUUGACAGUCUGAUAAUAUAAUAUUCAAAUUUGUGUGAUAACAAAAAAUGUUAAAGUUUGCCUACAACUCGAACAAAAAUCUGGUUGCUUUUAUUGACAUAAAUGGAUUUCAUCUGUAGGGGCACACACCAUAGGAAGGUCUUCAUGUGAAUCCGUACAACACAGACUCUUUAACUUCAGUGGAACUGCCAAGCCUGAUCCAUCCCUUGAUGCGCAGUACUUGAGCUACUUGGAAAGAAAAUGUAGAUGGGCAUCAGACUAUGCUGAUCUUGAUGCUGUAACUCCACAUAAAUUUGACACUGCAUACUACAUAAAUCUGCAGAAGAAGAUGGGACUUUUAUCCACAGAUCAAAUGUUGUAUUCUGAUCCAAGGACUAAAUCUCUUGUCAGUGCUUUUGCUUCCCAGCCAUCAGUCUUCCACUACCAGUUUGGAAUAUCCAUGGCCAAACUAGGGAAUGUUCAAGUCCUCACCGGUCAAAAUGAAGGCGAAAUUCGAACCAAUUGCAACUUUGUCAACUCUUAUUAAGACCUUUAAUUAUAAUAAGAAACGGUCUCAAAUGCUUACCAUGUUUUGCUUAAUUAAUUAACCAUAUGAUAUAAAUGAAUUUAAUCACUUGUUCGCUCAUGUUCAACAUCCUUUCUUCUCUCUCUACAAUUUCCUAUUAUUUCCCAUUUGUUUGAUGUUCGCCUCCUGCUCAAUUAUUAGAAUAUCAAAGCUGACAAUAUAUCUAUAUAUUAUUGAUAUUUUCUUAACGGUUUCUCAACAAUGAGUGAUAUUGUGCUUAGCACAUCUCAAGGAAGAAAAACUUAAUUAAGUGUAUCUGGUUUGUUUUAUAUCUCUAGUCACUCGAUCAAUCAUAUAUUUAGAAAGAUUGAUAUAUAGGUAGAUAACUAUACACAAGCGAUUAUAGGUAAAAUUUUAGGAAAACUAAUAAAAAUGAUUUGAAAACUUUGAGUUUUAAUGAUAAGGACAAAAUAAAUAGUAAAGUGAAUAGUACUAGGAUUAACUUUUUAGUGUAAAAAUAUGAAUUUUCGUUAAAGUGAACAUGAGUUUUUCGUUUAAGUUCUCUAAAAUCUUUUCAUACAAAAAUAAAACAACCUCAUUUGAUAUAUUUGGCUGAUAAGCCCGGUCAGCAGCCAAGCCAGUUUCAAAUGUUGUCUUCCCGCUCUCCUUUAUUGCACACUUCGACUACAACUCAAAAUCCUCAACAAAUUGAGUCUGCGAGAUAAUCCAACCUUCUAUCAUUAUCACAUGUAGCUUACAAGACGACCCAAACCCUAAUUUGAUGGACAAACAAUGGGUUUAUGAGAAAGAAGCUCCUUAGUCUCGCAAGGCCUGUUUUUUAUUUUCCUUUUUUCCUUCCCCUAGUGGCUGGGUGGUGGUCACAGUAUGAGAAACUUUAUACGGUCCUUGAAAAAACAAUGCAAUAAAAAGAAAAGAAAAGAAAAGAAGGGCUCUGCAUUAAUUGAAUCAUCCUGGACCUAAAUGACAAGCAAUCUUUGACACCUUUAUCCUCUAGGGUUAAGCAAGCAUCUCUGAGUCUCUGACUCAUGCUCUGUGGGCUCUAUUUUGUCCUCUUCCCAAGGAACUAUGGGGUUGUUUGCAGGCGCGCCCUCACUGUGUCAGAAAGGUCAAACCAAGCAAACUGUCCCUUUAUCAGGCAAAUAAAAGAAAAAGUUAAACCUAAAUAUAUAGUAUCUUUGGAUAACAUCUUAUAUCUAAUCCAAAUUCUUUUUUUAUUUAUCUUAAACUUCAUAAACCAUGAGUUAAAUCAUACUUUUAGUUAUAUAUAUAUAUAUAUAUAUAAUAUUGAAAUGAAUAUGUUGUAAUACAGAAGCUAGAAAGAUUACAUUUGAUGUUUUGUUUAUUUGUUCAUUUCUUAAAGAAAUGAAUCAUCCUCAAAGACAUGGGAAAUUAGUCCACAAACAUCUUGUUUUCCCCUUUUUUAUUUGGACGGUGCUAUCUACAUACCUCUCUUUACUUUCCACAUAUUCUAUGUUAAUUUCUGUUCUUUUAUCAUCUUCAAUUCAUUCAAUUCGACAGUCAAAAAUUGAAAGAUGUGUGUGAAAGAUAAAAAGAAGUGUGUAGAUACACCACCCUUUAUUUGUUAGGUCUCUCUCUCAUUUAAACUUUCGCAGAUAUAAACCCUACAAGCAUUUCAAAUCUUGUACCAUUUCUUUUUCUUUUCCAUCUUGAGCUAUGAGCAGCCUUAGUCUACAAAUCCAAACCUUCAUUUCAUCACCAACCUAGAAGCUGCCAAGUCUAGAACUUGCUGAAUGAUUUGAAUACAAGCAAAAAAAUCGUCUUGCAUGGCUAGUAAUGCAAAAUCAUCUACCACCACUUUUACAACCCUCCUCUUCUUUCUUCUCAUCACAUUUCAAAUCACCGUGGCUCAAAAGAAGCAUAGCUUGCCAAUCCCAGGUACCAGUAGUACUUCCUCGAGAUCACUUGGAGUUGGAGUCAUCACUAAGAAAAAUGCUAUCGUGGAAUCUUCUACAAGAAGACCCUCACACGGCAUCAUCAAUUCAAAGGCUGAUCACGAUUUUACAGGCGAAUCGGGACGAAGGAGAGGAGUAGGGUUUCAGGUUCGUCGUGGGAGGCAGCCAAUCCCAUGGAAAGAAAAUAUGUUCAGAGCCGGUGCACAUGAAGUUCCAAGUGGUCCGAAUCCCAUUUCAAAUAGAUGAGGAGUAAUAUUGAGGAAGCUAGCAUAACAAACGUGAUCAAAGUAGAUAUAUAUGAUCAAGAGAAAGAAAUUUAAUAAAAACAAAGAACGUAUAGUCUGGGAUUUUCUCCUUCUUUGUGGCCUGUCUUUUCUGCCAUUUAUUUAUAUGUCGCUGCUGUAAUGUCACUACAGCUUAAUGAUCAUAUGUUAUUUUUAAUCUAUUCCAUAGUAUAUGCUAGAUAUUUGGAACUUUCAGACAAUCAUUUUGCCAUUAUAAGUAGGAUGUAUAUGAUCAUAUUCAAGUAGUAAUGGUCUUCAUGGUCAUCAUCAUUAAGCUAUUUUUGUUUUCUGCACAAUUGUCUUCUCUCUUGCCACCCGCAUUCCCUAUUCUUUUGGAUGUACAUAAUAAAAUAAUUGCGGUUGAUUAUUGUUCAAAAAUGUAAUCUAGCGUUGCCUAUCAAAUAAUUAUUAGUAUUUUGCUCUUUUCCCGCUUCGAAUGGAUUCAUGCAUAUAAUAAUAUAUAACACUAGGAUGAAGCAAUCAUCAUCGAUUACUAAUUGGAUGAAUGAAUAUGGAAUGAAUUACAUAGGACUAGGACAAGAUGUUUCUUAUUUGAAGAAUUUUUUCUUGGUUUUUCCCUUUUCUUUUUUGAAAAAAAAAACAAGCAUGUUUGUAGUUAAGGCACCUGAUGUGGGGUUUGCUUUUUUGCUUUGUAUCAGUUGUCAAAAGAGAAAAAAAGUAAGAAAAAAUAAUUGGAUUUUGCCUUUUGAGAAUGCUCAUGUGAGUGGAUUACGUGUCAUUUUAUUUGCUGGAGCUAGCUACACAUAACUAUUAUGUUCCCUUGGGUUGUGGAUAAACACAGAGAAGGGACAUAAUGAUUCACAAAUUGUGAUGGGUUUGAGGCUUUUAUUUGAGAGACUAGACUUCACUUGCAAAUAUAUGCAAUAAUUAAAGGAAAAAUUAAAAUGAAAAUUAACGAAAAGUAAAAAAAAAAAAAUCUCUUUUAAUGAAAAGUUAUUUUUAAAGGUAUAGUGAAUAGUAUCAGGAAAAUGUAUAAAUGUAAUUUUUCGUUAAAAAUGAACAGUACCAGAAGUGUUUUGUUAAAACUCCCAAAAUUAAAAGGAAACUAAUGAAAAUGACUUGAAAACUUUGAGUUUUAACGAUAAGGACAAAAUAAAGGGUAAAGUGAAUAGUACCAUGAUUGACUUUUUAGUGUAACAAUAUGGUUUUUCGUUAAAGUAAACAGUACCGCGAGUUUUUAGUUAAAAUUCUCUUUUAAAAGGAAAAUAAAGGUUCCCAAAACUUUGUGAGGAUUUUAAAGAUUCUUCAAUUACAUCCGUUUAUCGUACAUUGUGCGGUCAGAAAUUAUUGUAAAUUUUUUUAUUUAAAAUUGAAUAUAAACAGUACCUGACAAAAACUAUCCUCACGAUGUACGAUAAACAGAUCAAAUUGAAAGAUCUCUGAGAUCCUCACAAAAAGAGAGAUUUUUCAGUGUGACCGUCACACGAGGUGGUACAUCACGUGUUUCUUUAUAAAUGGUGGGUUAUGUGUAUUAAAAGGUUAAUAACUUAAAAAUUAAAAUUUUCACCAUGCAUAAAAAUACGUAGUGUACCAUCCGUGUUCUCAUCACAACUAAAAUUUCUCCACAAAAAGGAGAAAAUUUUCAUUGUGAUGGGAACAUGGGUGGUACACCACGUGUUUUUAUAUAAAUGGUAGGAAAUUAUAUUUUUUAAGUUAUUAACUUUUUAGCAUACAUAUUCCACCAUUGAUAUAGUGACACGUCAUGUAUCACUCGUUCCAGUCAUAUUCUCUCCACAAAAAGCCGGAUCCUCACUCCCCAAAACCCCCAUUGUUUUGCGUGUAAAGUUACACAGACCUGGCAUCCAAAGCAAUGGUGAAGAACGAAGAAGGGUUUCUUUUUAAAUUUAGGGGAAUAUCCCUAAAUAACCCUUGUUGCUUGAUUGGAACUACAUCGAUACCCUUUAUUAGUCUUUGAUAAGUCUCUUCCUUUUAAAAGCUGAAGCUGCUGAACCAGAACCAUGAAAGCGUGGUUUUCAUCGUCGCGUACCUCAUGCAGUUAUCCUCUUCUACUAGCUCUUGUUUGCUUAUGAGUGGAGCUGCUUGGCACUUUGGCAAUAAGGUUACAUGAUCUUCAAUAAUCAUGGAAAAGAUUGACCAAACUCUGCAUGUUGUUCAAAAUUUCAUAAAAUGUGGUCAUGCAUGUGCUCCAUGUUAUUGUUAUAUAUGAAACUUCAUUUUUUCAUAUUUGUUUUUAUGUGAUGAACAACUACGAAACCUUAAGUUUGAGCUAACUACUCAUAAAUUAUCAUUUCAACUAUCAGUUUAUUGUUACCCUUGUACAAAAUGUUAGACGAGGUAAUUCUAAGUUCAAAUCUCCUUACUCGUCCAUCAAAACUACUAAAAAAUUAAUCAAUUCUAAAUUUGUUCAAUGGAUGGAUAAUAUGGUUGGGCUUAAUUAUAUUUCUCUGUGCAAUGCAGAUGAUCUCUUAAUCUCUUUUUGUCAUUUGGCUAUUUUAUAUAUAUGUGAACGAGAAAUAUAUAAUGGAAAGUGAGAAAAUAUCUGCAAUGGUAUAUUCCAUCAUCCCAAAGAACCCUUUGAGAAAGCAUGCUUAAGUCAAAGACAAAGACACAUAAUUGUUUCCUAAUGAUUCUUCCCAUCUCGCUCUCUGAGAUGGUGUUAUCGUCUAGAGGAGGAAGAUUAGGCGGUUCCCCUUUGGAAUCAAAGCAUAAUUCUGCCUUCACUUUUGAUAUUGAGUGAGCUCUUAAUUAUCACUUAUUUUAUCACUUUAAUAAGAAAACUUUUGUGUCCAAGACUCAAGCAACCCUUUCCCUAUAUAUACACUUUUAUAUAUAUAUAUAUAUAUAUAUAUAUAUGUGUGUGUAUAGCCCUGCCCAAUGCAGAAAUCUUGGGUAUAAAACACAGAGAAAGAAAAAUCACCCACCAAAGAUAACACCAGCAGUCAAGUCAUCCAAUAAAGAGACGAAAAGAAUUGCUUGUCUCUUUUGAUCAAAGUCAUCAGAGUCUUUUCGUACCUUUCUUUAUUACAAGCAAUUCUUUCUUUCAAAGGAGACAAGCAAUUCUUUUCAUCUCUUUAUUGGAUGACUUGAUUGCUGGUGUUACUUUGGUGGGUGAUUUUUCCAUCUGUGUUAGCAAGUCAUCCCUGCCCUAUGGUCUUCUACCGAAAAAGUUCUCUCUUGCAACCAUUCCACCAAAAUAAACGAGUGCUUUACUUUUUUAAUACAUGACAAACAAAGGUUCUUUCUUGCAACCAUUUCACCAAAUUAAACGAGUGAUUCACAUUUUUACAAGUGACAAAUAUUAAUUAAUUGUUGACACCAUUUAGACUAUAAAAUGAUUGCGAGACAAUCUCUCAUUAUACAGAGCUAUAAACACGAAAUGAAAAUUGAAUAGUCACAGUUUAAUUCCUUGGUUCUAAAAUGGACAAUUCAGAAAAAUAAUGAUAAUUACCAUUGUCACUUUACUAAAUUUCACAAUCAUUUUACAAAGUACUUUCUUUGUUACAUUUGGUGUUAAGGGAGACCAAAGGCGGAGAGUGAGGAUUCAAACCUUGGCCUAAGUGUGCGGUAAAUACUCUUAAACAACGGAGAUACAAACCUCGACACAAGUACUAUUUUCAGACUCACUAUCUACCUGUUGGUAUCUCUACAAAGGAAAUAAAAACAAAACUCCUCGGAAGGCAAAGACCAACAAUCGCGCCUUCUUAUAUCUCCUCACAGUAGCGUUGCCUUGUGUUUGAGCCCAUAAAUGGCUUCGGCAUGGUGAGCAUUAAGAUUGCUACACUCGAGCAUCAAAAGAAAUCCCAAGCUUUGCACAUUUGUAAAACUUUUGUGAGAGCAUUUUUCCACCUUUCACACUUGUCAGCGCAUGUAAAAUAGUCAUUCCUGUGAUCCGUGAUCCAAUCCAUGCACCCAAACCAUCACUUUUGGAAUCAAGGCAUUCCUAAUUUGGCCUGUCAUCCUGAUCUCCCUUAAACCCUACGGAUUAGAAGAAAAUCAGAGGUCAAUAAAAUGGGGAGAAUGGCACGAAGAAUGAGAGCACAAGAGAAGUAGAGAGUAUGUACUUUCAGCUCUUCGCCAGCACCCAGUUGAGGGGAUUGUGUUACAGAAUUUAUAUAUCCUCGAAAGGCAGUUUACCAGACUUAAUACUUCAAAGUCGUAAAUUGCAGUCCUCUCCGCCUAAAAGAAAAAUAUAUAAGAAAACGUCGAAGGCUAGAACUUGCCCAAAAUAAAUGGCAUAAGCAAUAAUAAUAUUCACCUGACAUGACAAAUCUCUCAGAUGGGUCAACUCCAAGCUGCAAAGUGCAAACGAGUAUCGGAAUUCACAUGCCCCUCGUAAGAUUGUACAGCUCCUCUUUGGAUUAGGCGUUGGUGGUAAAGCUUCACCUGAAAAAAAAACAAGAACUAAUCAGAAUGACAUUGACCAAAAUCGUUGCAGCAGCAACCUUAGAAAAAAACCAUAUCUGGAUGUUUUCGCCUUUUCCCUGAGGUUACUUACUACCCAGGCAUCAACCCAGUUCUUUCUCUUUAAAAAAAUUGGACCUCUAGUCAUGGAAUGCAAAAUUUUAGUUGAUUGCUAGAUAUCUGAUGUGUUGAGAGGAACAGGGUAAUGUAUAUAUAGAUGACAAUGAAUUCAGCUCAAGCAAGGACCAUUAAAAACAUUCAUGUUCUUAUUAAUGAUUGUCAAGUGUUGCAUAUCUAAAGACCUGUGUUACACAGCAUAAGAAAAGAUGCCGACACUUCCAAACCUGCAAUUCAUGCAAAUCCGCCCCAAAGCACCAUCACUUAACUCUUUUUGUUUCCUGAUACUUCCACACCUGCAAUUCAUAGAACACCAAAAUAAAACAAAUUACAAUUUCCUGCCGUCAUUUGUUGCAAGUUUCCUGCUGUAACCUAUACGUUGCAAGUUUCCUGCUGCAACCUAUAUGUUGCUGGAUUCUAAACUUGGCCCUGCAUGCCAAAUAUAGACUCACAGAGGCUUACAGUAAAAUUUUGAAAUUAAAUGUAUACUGUUACGUCUAAUAAUGGUAUAUAUGCUAUUCCUAAUAAAAAAAGAACAAAAAAAUCUGUCAGUAUGAAUUAGGGCACUAAUCAAGCUGAAAGUAAAACCUGGAAACAAAUUGGUGGAAAUCAUAAUGUGCUAAUUGGUAAACUUAACUUUAAAAUCUUAAACUGAAGGCCUACAUUAACAUACCACAGGAUGGCAUGCUUGUGCCUUUUGGAAUUCCUCAUUGAAGUUACACCUCCCUUAUUGAAAGGAAUGAGAUUACCGCAUAACUCCCUAGCCUGAAGCAUCUUAGAAGUUCUUACACUUGUUCGCCUACAUGAGUUGUUCGCCUACAGCAAGAUGAAUUACAGCCAGAGUCAAGUAUUUUGACAAUUAUGUAAAUCACCGUAAUAAAAGCAUAACAAAACAGAGAAUAAGAAGCUAUGGUAAUCUCAGAGAAGAAACAACUACUUUACAUCUAUGUGUUCAAUAAGUAAUACGAUGCAAAAUACAUAUAAUAAAAGGGAUGCCUGCCUAGAAAUUCACUAGUUUAGUUGCAACCUUACAACAGUGGACACUAAUCUAUGAUUAAGGUCAUUAAUAUGCUAACCACAGCAAAAGAAAUUAUCACUACAAGGACAUGAUCUUGCGGCUAUCGAACUAAUUAAACGGCAACAGAUUUUACUCAGCUAACCACUCCAUUUAUCUAAGUUUUAAUAUGGGAGCUGCAGUCGACAAACCAAAAUAUUCAUCCUGUAUGACAUGAAAUUCUUGGCAUGCCAUUUUAGAGUGCUAAUAGCAAUUCUCUAACUCUAAGGUGUAAAUACUAAAUACACAAAAUUCCCAGCAAGCCAUAAAUUUUUUCGAACUAGCUCGAUUCUAAUGACAAUUGUAAGUAACCUCUCAUUAGUGUGACAUGAAAAACUCACUAUAAGUAACUAAAGAGCUUCAACAAAGCAAUUGGAACACAAAAGUGAACUCCCCAACCAAAACACAAGUAGCAACAAAACAUAAAUCCAAGUGAUAGCCCAUAAAAAAUAGAAACAUCCAGAGCAAUGUCAAGCUUAAAAACAGUAAAAACAACAAAGAUACAAACUUUGAAACAGGAAAAACUGCUAACAACAUGCAAACCUGGAAAAGCAAAAAAUUUGGGUUCAAAGUUCAAAUGCAGAACAACCAGCGUACCUUGGCCGGCGUCUGAGCUCUGGAAGAAGCAGAAGCAGUCAUACGACGAGAGCCCGGGAUGGGGCCUUUGAGUGGGAAGUACCUAUUCUUCUCCCAUCAUAGUAAAACCCAGGAAGAUCUGAAGAGCCCGAAUUCAUAAUCUGAUCAGUGUUUCGAAAAAAACCCACAAAAAUAAAGCUGAAAAAGUUGAAGGGAUGAGAUCUUAUCGUACCUCCUGCCAUGGUUUUGCAGAGAAACAGAGAGCAACGUUGAAGCUGCUGUGUCUUUUGUGUUGUUUAGCGCAGAAAAGGGGGGAAGGUGGUGGAAGUGUCGAAAAGGUGGAGGGCUUUAUGGAAAACGGUCACGAGUCCCUACCAUAACCGUUGAUAUCCGGGUUGCUGAGGUGGCGCUGUGGCGCAGACAAAAUGUUGGAGAUUGGAAUGAGGAUCUCAUUCCGAAGAUAUCCUCACGUCUAUUCAUCAUACAUCAUCGGUUAAAAAUUAUUAUAAAUUUUUUAUUUAAAAUUAAAUAUAUAAAGUAUAUAACUAAAAUUAAUCGCACAAUAUACAAUAUAUUCAUAUAAUUGUAAGAUUUCCGAAAUGCGCUUUGAUUCGGAAAGGAUCCUCAUUUGGAAGAUUGACCGUCCCAUAUGCCUCCAAAUCUUAAGGUAUUCUAUUAAACUGGGCUGGGCCCUGGACCGAAGGCUGUUGUUUUAGUCCACACAAAUCCAAGUUGGGUCGGAUCAUCCAAAUAUUGAGGGAUUUUCUCUGAGGAAAGUGAGCAUGCAUAAAAGAAUGAAUUUGUAAAUCUUUAUUUUAUCACUUGUACGUGCAAAAAGUUGAUGCUAUUCACACUUACAUGGCUUUUCACUUUUUUUCAUCCAAUUAAAUGUAUUGGAGAUGAUCAAAUAACAAAAACAGAUGAUCAAAUAACAAAAACUAACAAAUAAUGUAUGAGAAGUAAAAGAAAAAGUGCGGAUAGCACCACUCCUAGAAAAAUUAUUGUUUGGGCCCAAAAUAUCAGCGUGGGCCGAGUAGAGAAUCAUUCUCGGCCCAGAAGGCCUUACGACAAGGUUAUCAGGGAUCGUUUAGUUUUGGAUCGGUUAGGUCAUGGGCUUCCAAACCUGGGUUGGUUAAGUCAUGCUGCAAGACGAGUCGAAUCCUGGUGCAAUGAGGAGUCUCGACGAGAUUAACAACUCGGAAGUGAAUCUGGCUCGAUAUAGGACUGGGUUCAAAAGUAUAGUGAAAAAGGACUGGUCGAGUUGGAGUUUGAUUGGGAGAAGAAGUCCUAAUCCGGGUAGGUUUUUAACUUGACCUUGAAGAUAUCCGAUGCUAUAAAUAGAGGAGGUUGUGCAUCGUUUGAGGCCCUUCCAAUUCAACACACAACUACCCUGCGCAAACUCUCUCAACAACUUUGAGAUUUUUUUUUAUUUUCUCUUUUCGUUGACACAUCAACAGCACUGUGAAAGCAACCGGUGAUAUCUUUAGUCGGCAUAGAUAGCUCUGUCGUCGUAGAAUCAGCCGAUCUCGCAGCAUCUUCCGUUGGCAUCAACAACACUGCGGCGAGGAUGGUUGGUUAUUUAUCCAAGUCUCGGUCGAGAAGGAUUUCCGGAUCCUUAUUGGUCGAGGUCAUCUCAUUAGCAUUUUCGGCAAAAUGAGGUGUUAUAAGUUACUACAUUCGGCACAUUGAAAGCCGAAUUUGAUAUUGAACUUCUCUAAGUUAGCAGCCUUGUCUUCAGGCUCUAGAACCCGAAGGCCGACAAGUUCCUUCCUUGGCCGCAGUCGCGAGAUUCAGAAGUCAGCAGCGCACCCAACGCAAUAUCAACAAAUUUUACUCCUCGACCGAGCUCGGCCGACGAGUUGACACGCCCUGCAUACAACCGAAGGACGUAGUUAACUUACUAAUUAUUCGGUCUGCGCGCCACGUAGACUUGGUAGUUUUUAAGGUCAACAAUUACGGUUAAUUACUUAGACUUAAAAUCUUUGGACAAAACGUCACUUACAUAAAUUUUUGUCUAUGAUUUUGGUAAGUUUGAUCACGUGACUUGCACCUACCAACUUUUUUCAUGUCAAUUUCAUCAGUUCAUAACAAAAUGAAGGUGAAAAACAGAAACGACCAAUUUUUCAUCAUCAACUCAUUUUAUCUUGGUUAACUUAAACAACUGGAUUAGUCAAAUGGGGUGUGUGGAUGCAAAUUUUCUCCUCUUCGAUCUUGGACGAUUUUGCACCUACAAAACAACUAGCACCUUAGGUUAAGGCCAAGAGCCUCACGCCCCCACGAUGAAUGGGGGGGGGUUUUGGCCGAAGAACCUCCGAUGCCAAAGUUAGAAUUUUAGAGAGAAAUAGUGUUUAGAGUAUUUGUGAUUUUUUGUGAGAGAGUUGGAAUGAAUUUUUGGUGAGAAUAUGUGUUUAUUUAUAGAGUUAGGGUUUGCCCUAUUUGAAUAAUAGUAGCCAGCCAUAGGGUUUUUGUGGGGGUUAAUUUCAUGUUUAAUUUGCCAAUUUAUUGGCUAAUUAAAUAUGAAAAUAAUAAAUGGGUGGUUAUAAAAAUGAAUGAUUAUUUUAAUAAGGAAAAUGGGAAAGAUGAGGAUGUUAUGGAAUGUUUGAAAUAAAUGGCUAAUUGAAUAAGGAAAAAAUGAGGUAAAAACAUAUAUGAAAUAGGUUUUGAAUUGUUACCCAUUUUGGGUACUCCUGACUUGGUUGAUGGAUGAUUCUCCACUGCUCGCGUGUAGGAGACCCGGUAUGCCUCCAGGGUAUUUUUGUCCUAUUUUGUCCAAAAAUCUACGUGUCGCCUAGUGAAUAUUUUUGGCUCCACAAAUGCCCCCACACCUGUUGGGCUGCUCGCUCGGAGAAAGGGCAGCAGGUGUAGAGAUCUUCUUGCUUUAGGAAACGUAGGAUUGCUUCUUAUUUUGAUGUUGAUUCUCUCUUUAAUUGGAAAUUAGGCCCUUCUAGGAAAGGGAAAUAAACUUCUCUCAAAGCCUAUUUAAGUCCACCUUAAGUGGGUUAUUAAAUCAACUUUGGAGAGCAAUUUAUUCUACCCCACAAGAGAGAGAAAGUUAGAGGAUAUUUGUUCCCCCUCCUCUAGCAAUCUUCUACAUCUUGCCCGUGCAAAGGACCGUCUUUUCGUUGAUUUCUUCAUCUUCUCCGUGCUGCACCGAUGUAAGAAAAAUUUAAUUUUUCUUGCCUUCUUCUUGGAUUAGUGCUAUUGCGGGGCAGCCGUCGGGGUGGUGCAGUACGUCGGCUGGCAGGGGCCAGGAGUUGGCUCGGCAUGGGCCGAGGAGAUGUCGUGGCAGGGACCACUGCUUGGGCAGACUUGGCUUGGCUUGAGCCAAGGGCAGCUUGUGCGGCUGGGGUCGCGGAUUGUGGCGCUGGGGCGCAGUGCUAGGCGAGCCGCAUGGCUAAUGUCCUUUGGGCUCUUGGACUUGACUCGGGCCAGGCUGGCGAUUGAGAGAAAUGAGGAGAUUACGGGUCUCAUGGAAUGCUGGAAUGUUGGGCAUGCAGGCCUUCUGCCUGCUGGAAUGCUGGGUUGAGCUCCCUUGCUGAGUACCAUGAAUGUCGUUGGCUGCUUAGUCUUCUUUGCUGAAAGAAAUGUGGGCUGCUCCAGAAAGAUGAGGUAAAGAGGAUCAAGGCGGAUGCAUUGGCUCGUUUGAUCGCUGUCGUGGAGCUUACUAUGAAUGAAGAUGGAAAGAAUAGAUCUUCCCCGCCUGCUCAUGAGAUGCCUAGUUAAAAAAAAACUGAAGACUUCUUCUGCUGCUCAUGAGGGUCCGCUUGCUACCGAAAGGUAUGUGAUUGACAUGACUUCUUCUAAUGGGAAGAAAAAUAAGGCUGCUAGAUCUAAGCAUGUGGCGUCUUCCAUGUUGAGAAUGGCUAGUACAAUUUUGGAUAAGAUUGCUCAGCGUAAAGGUUUUAUCAUGCCCCCAGUGCCGAAGUCUGUACCAGGACGUUCUUUGGGAGCCAAGUCCGGUUCACCUUUGUAGAGACUUGCUAUUAUGAAGAGUGGUAAGGUGGACUCUGCUGCUAAAGUGGCGCCAAAGCCUACUCCCUUUGCUGCUGAGAUUGAUUCGCCUUAGAUUCAAGAUCUUAAGCUUGCAAUUUCUGAGCUUCGUUUCGCUACUUAUGCUAAGAAGGUAGUGGAUGAGCUGCAGCGCGUCCAUGUUAGUCUGCUUAAGAAGAAUGAGCAGCUGAAGGGUGAGAAUGAUGGGCUUGAGGUUUUAAGACCUUCUCCAUUUCUUCGGAAGACUUGCUUGCUUUUACUUUUAAGGCUUCCAUUGGUGAAGUAGUUGGAGAAGUUAGUGCCCAGACUGGGGCAGCCAGGGGUGAAGCGUCGGAUGAUGCCGCUGCUAAGAGCGUUACGGCUGUUGAAAGUGUGGCGACCGAGUAGUCGUGGGAUGUCCAAGCUGCUGUAGUGUAGUAUUUUAGGUAGCCUUUAGGAUUUUCUUUGUUUUUCCUUGUAGCUUUUGUUUUGCUUGAACUCCUUCGGCCUUUGCUAGUUGUUUAUAAACAUGUUUUCCUUCGUUUUUCUUCAUCUCACUUCUUUUGUUCAUGCCCUAACCUUUAGACUUGAUAGACCAGUGGCAGGCAUGCUACUUUUUUAUAAGCAGACAAACUUGCGUAGCCUAUGCAGCCGUAGGUGUUGGUGUAGAACUUUGCAAAGUUGUUAGCCAUAGGGUUGGCAGCCGGAUGCCUUACUUACAGAAGCAAACAAGUCCGCGUAACCACUAGGCUGUUAACCUUGACUUUCUUCAAUUCCGUAGGUUGCGUAGCAAGUAUCACAACACUUUAGGACUU
rnacentral:lncRNA from 1 species